GUGGGGAAUCUUCCGCAAUGGACGAAAGUCUGACGGAGCAACGCCGCGUGAGUGAUGAAGGUCUUCGGAUUGUAAAGCUCUGUUAAUCGGGACGAAAGAGCCUAGUGUGAAUAAUGCUAGGAAGUGACGGUACCGGAAUAGAAAGCCACGGCUAACUACGUGCCAGCAGCCGCGGUAAUACGUAGGUGGCAAGCGUUGUCCGGAAUUAUUGGGCGUAAAGCGCGCGCAGGCGGAUCUGCCAGUCUGUCUUAAAAGUUCGGGGCUUAACCCCGUGAUUGGAUGGAAACUACAGAUCUAGAGUAUCGGAGAGGAAAGUGGAAUUCCUAGUGUAGCGGUGAAAUGCGUAGAUAUUAGGAAGAACACCAGUGGCGAAGGCGACUUUCUGGACGAAAACUGACGCUGAGGCGCGAAAGCCAGGGGAGCGAACGGGAUUAGAAACCCCAGUAGUCC
rnacentral:rRNA from 1 species